rnacentral:rRNA from 1 species
UACAGAGGGGGCAAGCGUUAUUCGGAAUUAUUGGGCGUAAAGGGCGCGUAGGCGGCGGGGCAAGUGACGGGUGAAAUCCCUCGGCUUAACCGAGGAUCUGCCCGUUAGACUGCUCUGCUUGAGACCGGGAGAGGUGAGUGGAAUUCCCAGUGUAGCGGUGAAAUGCGUAGAUAUUGGGAGGAACACCAGUGGCGAAGGCGGCUCACUGGACCGGUACUGACGCUGAGGCGCGAAAGCGUGGGGAGCAAACAGG